rnacentral:rRNA from 1 species
UACGUAGGCAGCACGCGUUGUUCGGAAUUACUGGGCGUAAAGAGUGUGUAGGCGGUGCUCUAAGUCUGUUGUGAAAUCUCCCGGCUUAACUGGGAGGGUGCGGCGGAGACUGGAGUGCUAGAGUGUGGGAGAGGUAAGCGGAAUUCCUGGUGUAGCGGUGAAAUGCGUAGAUAUCAGGAGGAACACCGGUGGCGAAGGCGGGUCUCUGGGCCGAUACUGACGCUGAGGAGCGAAAGCGUGGGGAGCGAACAGG